CCUACGGGUGGCAGCAGUGGGGAAUAUUCCACAAUGGGGGAAAGCCUGAUGCAGCAACGCCGCGUGAGUGAAGAAGUAUUUCGGUACGUAAAGCUCUAUCAGCAGGGAAGAAGAAACACGGUACCUGCCUUAGAAGCCCCGGCUAACUACGUGCCAGCAGCCGCGGUAAUACGUAGGGGGCAAGCGUUAUCCGGAUUUACUGGGUGUAAAGGGAGCGUAGACGGCUGUGCAAGUCUGAAGUGAAAGCCCAUGGCUCAACCGCGGAACUGCUUUGGAAACUGUAUAGCUUGAGUACUGGAGAGGCAAGCGGAAUUCCUAGUGUAGCGGUGAAAUGCGUAGAUAUUAGGAGGAACACCAGUGGCGAAGGCGGCCUGCUGGACAGAAACUGACGUUGAGGCUCGAAAGCGUGGGGAGCAAACAGGAUUAGAUACCCCAGUAGUC
rnacentral:rRNA from 1 species